rnacentral:rRNA from 1 species
UACGGGAGGCAGCAGUGGGGAAUAUUGCACAAUGGGCGCAAGCCUGAUGCAGCCAUGCCGCGUGUAUGAAGAAGGCCUUCGGGUUGUAAAGUACUUUCAGUCGUGAGGAAGGUGUUAAGGUUAAUAACCUUAGCAAUUGACGUUAGCGACAGAAGAAGCACCGGCUAACUCCGUGCCAGCAGCCGCGGUAAUACGGAGGGUGCGAGCGUUAAUCGGAAUUACUGGGCGUAAAGGGCACGCAGGCGGUUAAUUAAGUUGGAUGUGAAAUCCCCGGGCUUAACCUGGGAAUGGCAUUCAAGACUGGUUAGCUAGAGUCUUGUAGAGGGGGUAGAAUUCCAUGUGUAGCGGUGAAAUGCGUAGAGAUGUGGAGGAAAUACCGGUGGCGAAGGCGGCCCCUGGACAAAGACUGACGCUCAUGUGCGAAAGCGUGGGGAGCAAA